rnacentral:lncRNA from 1 species
AUGCAAUACAAUAUUACAGAUAUAGAAAUUCCAAGACAAGAAUUAUUGCUUCUGUUUAUACUUCACUUUACAAACCCCUAUUUUUCUAUCUAUCUACCAACAUUAAAAAAAAAAUGGAAUAGUGUAUGUGUGUGAAGAAAAUCUGCAGAUAUCCCUUAAGCAUGCUCAAGCAUGCUCAGCCAUCUAUUGACAUUUUUCUUUGACUCCAGCUCCACGCCUUUGAAAUAUUUUUCUUUGACUCCAGCUCCAGCAGCAUAUUUGCAAAAUUUUCACACCCAAACACCUUCAUGUGGUUUCAGAUUUCAGCAGCUAUUAAUC